ACUUUGCAUACACGAAAGUGUGACAGGGCUAUCCCGAGUGCCGUCCGCUGAGGRUGGCUUUUMCCCAGUCUAGAAAGCUGGGAGAAUAAGGAGAGGGCAAGUCUGGUGUCAGCCGCCGCGGUAAUACCAGCUCUCCGAGUGGUGUGGAUGUUUAUUGGGCCUAAAGCAUCCGUAGCUUGCUGAUCAAGUCCCCUGUUAAACCCAACGAAUCAAUCGUUGGAUUGCGGGGGAUACUGCUCGGCUAGGGGACGAGAGAGGCCGACGGUAUUUUCGGGGUAGGGGUGAAAUCCUAUAAUCCCGAGAGGACCACCAGUGGCGAAGGCUGUCGGCUAGAACGCGCCCRACGGUGAGGGAUGAAAGCUGGGGGAGCGAACCGGAUUAGAUACCCGGGUAGUCCCAGCUGUAAACGAUGCAGGCUAGGUGUUUGGGCGGCCACGCGCCGCUCUAGUGCCGCAGGGAAGCUGUUAAGCCUGCCGCCUGGGGAGUACGGCCGCAAGGCUGAAACUUAAAGGAAUUGCGGGGGGAACAC
rnacentral:rRNA from 1 species